rnacentral:rRNA from 1 species
AUCGAUGGCCAUAACACCCUGAAUGCGCCUGAUCUCCUGUCUGAUCUCAGAAGCUAAGCAGGGUCAGGCCUAGUUAUUACUU